rnacentral:rRNA from 1 species
CYCUGCGSAGCACABGGSGGAUCCCAAGCCCUCUCSCUUUAGGGUCGGCCVAUGGCGAAUUAGCUAGUUGGUGGGGUAAAGGCCUACCAAGCCGACGAUCCGUAGCUGGUCUGAGAGGACGACCAGCCACACUGGGACUGAGACACGGCCCAGACCCCUACGGGAGGCAGCAGUGGGGAAYUUUGGACAAUGGGGGCAACCCUGAUCCAGCAAUGCCSCGUGUGUGAAGAAGGSCHHMGGGUUGUAAAGCACUUUUGUCCGGAAAGAAAUCMYCUGCCCUAAUACGGCGGGGGGAUGACGGUACCGGAAGAAUAAGCACCGGCUAACUACGUGCCAGCAGCCGCGGUAAUACGUAGGGUGCAAGCGUUAAUVGGAAUUACUGGGCGUAAAGCGUGCGCAGGCGGUCCGCUAAGACAGAUGUGAAACCCCCGGGCUUAACCUGGGAACUGCAUUUGUGACUGGCGGGCUAGAGUAUGGCAGAGGGGGGUAGAAUUCCACGUGUAGCAGUGAAAUCCGUAGAGAUGUGGAGGAAUACCGAUGGCGAAGGCAGCCCCCUGGGCCAAUACUGACGCUAAUGCACGAAAGCGUGGGGAGCAAACAGGAUUAGAUACCCUGGUAGUCCACGCCCUAAACGAUGUCAACUAGUUGUUGGGGAUURAUUDMMUUAGUAACGUACUAACGCGUGAAGUUGACCGCCUGGGGAGUACGG